GGGCGUGUGGUUUAGGGGUAUAAUGUUCGCUUCGCACUGUGCCACGCACAUUACCUCGCUUGCGAAAGGUCGCCGGUUCGAUUCCGGCCUCGUCCA
rnacentral:tRNA from 1 species